UGCUUUCCCGGGCCUACGCCCAGCAGAGCUGACAUUAAGGCCCCCGCCAUCUUCCGAACGCUCAGCCGCGUCAGGCAGGCGCGCCGCAGCCAAUCAGGAGCCGCGUUCCCAGCGAGGCAGCCAAUCAGAGGUGUACUUCAGAUAACACAGCUGUCAAGUUCCUGGACAUUACUUCUUUAACAGAAAAUUUGGUACCAAGGCAGAACCAACAUGGAAAAGAGCCGCAGUAUGUGUCGGUGUAGGCUCCAUUUCUCCACAAGCUGCAUCACAAAUAUUGGACUCUUGAUUUAGAAGUUCAUUAAAAGUUCAUGGAGAUAGGUCUUGAUAGAACUGGGUCUGUAAGGCCAAGAGAAAAGCAAAUGGUUGACAUCUAAAUAUUGAAAAGAAUGCCAGAAAGCAGGUAGAAUCAUUGCAUGCCCCCCCCCCAAUUACAGACAGAUAAGCAGAAGUAGCAAUAGCAUCAAGUAACUGGAAUAUGCACUGAACUUAAAAUAGUAAGAACUCCUUCCUUACUCCUCAGCUCCUUGGAAGGCUGCAAAAUGAAUCCCAUUCCCUAGAAGUUUUAAUGAAAAGAUUACAAGGCCUGCUCAUGGGCAUACUUUCAGGGUGCUUGAUGCAAGACUAGUAGAUAGCUUAGGGCAGUGGUACUAAAACCUUUUGCUCCCAGGACCCCCCUUUACGUCUAUCUACAUGUGGAUAUCGCACAUCCCCACUCAACAUGGUAUAUGAAUAAAAAUGUUUUGUUGAUUUAAUGUGUGCAUUUUCAUUCACAUUUUUAUGUAUAUUCAUAUUUUAACAUUUUAUAAGGAAUUAACAUGGUUCAAAUUAGAACAGUUUUAUUUAAGUUAAUUCAACAUUUAACUCAAUCCAUGUGUAAAAUUUACACAUAAAAAAGUAUGGGGAGUCUUAUACCUCCAUUGAGCAAUGUUGGAGGUCCCACCCCAGAGUUGGAGAACCACUGGCUUAGGAAGCCUCCUGCAGAUGUAUGCUUAUUUUAAACAGAUUGAUGGGGCUCAGUGGCAACUUGGCGAUCAAAUGACUGUUCAGCAAAAAGGAGUGUUACUUCUGCACACACAAACACAGGCAUCUAAAGCAAGGACAAUACACCUGCUCCCAGUUUAUAACUGAAAUGAAAAACAGUGUUGUGGAAGGGACACAAAUGGCUAGUGUUGUGGUUUCAUGGCAGACUUGAGAUCUGAACCAAGGAUGUCAUAAUUUAUAGCUCAGUCUGUGAGCUGCUAUGGUACUCCACUUGUUAUACCCCAUGGGCAUGUUCCUUUCCUUUCCUUUCUCUCUACUGUCAUCAGAUGAAGACAAUUUAGUCUGUUGAAAAGGUGGUUUGGCUUCUGAAGUGUGUGAGAGAGCUUGGCCUCAGUGCUUUGGGGCAGAAGGGGGGCAAAAGAGGAUUAUUACAAUGAUCUUUGUUUUACAUAGAGGAAGAGAAGAAGUCCUUACUAAAUUUUAUUACAGUUGGCCCUCUCUAAAUCCAUAGAUUCUUUAGCCACAUUUUCAAGCAUACACGACUCAAAAAUAGUAAAAAAUAUAUAUACGUUCCAAAUAGCAAGCCUCAAUUUUGCCAUUUUUUAAAAAUAAGGGACACCUUAUAAAAUGCCCCUGUAUUGAAUAUGGCUUGAGCAUUCACAGAUUUAAGUAUCCACGGGAACCCUGGAACCAAACCCCAGCAGAUACCAAGGGCCUGCUAUAUAAUCCCACAUUCCUUGGCAUCCUCCUUCCCAAAGAGGUCACUGGCCUGCCAGAUCUCACCAGGUCUUGAUGUUGUUAUGUAGCCAUCAUCAUGAUGAAGGCACUGAAAGUGUGUUCCCUGACUCCCUGGAAACACAAAUUGCCAAUCGCAGCUGCAGGGAAACCAAGAAUAGACACCAUGUUCCAAGUGCUGGACUUGUUUCUGUUUCUCAGAAGUCUAAGCUGUUUUCCUAGGUUUAGUAUGGAUCACGGACAGUUAAAGCCAGCCUGGUUGGUGGGAGGCACUCAGGAUCAAGUGAAGCCAUCACUCAGAUCAUCUUCUGGACCAUAUAAACUGCUUUUACCAACACACUGAUAGAUGGGACAACCAAUGUUGGAUCCAGACCUCUGCUGCAGUGGAGAAGAGGCAUGGAUCCAUGCCCCUUUCAGCUUUCCACUUUCCUGUCUCUCUCUCCACCAAAGAAGCCAAGGCAGCAGAGGUGGCACAGGUGCAUGCCUCUUCCAGCUUCACUGCUUCCCUGUCUCUCUCUCUGCCAAGGGAGCCAAGGCAACAGAGAAGGAGGCAUGAGUGCUUGCCCCUUCCAGCUACUCCACUUCCCUAUCUCCACCAAAAGAGCCAAGGCUGUAGAGUAGGAGGCAUGGGUGCUUGCCCCUUCCACCUACUUCCCUGUCUCUCCACCAAAAGAGCCAAGGCAGUGGAGAAGAAGGCAUGAAUGCUUGCCCCUACUAGCUACUCUAUUUCCCUGUCUCUCUCCACCAAAAGAACCAAGGAAGUGGGGAAGGAGGCAAGGGUGAAUGUCCCUUCCCACUACUCCACUUCCCUGUCU